ACUUUUAAAUCGCAUUGAUUGGUGGAUGUAGUGACUCCGAUUGUAUAUAAAGACAUUGAGUCGAUCAGAUGUUAUCUGCAGCGUCUAGAAUCAAAAUGGGAAAACUGUUUGUUGUUCUGACUCUCCUCGUCUGUCUGGUUGCCCUGUCAGCCGGUUAUUAUCAAAACCAAAACUACUGUUUUCCUAGACAACAUUGCAAUAAUUGGAAGCGUUGUUACUCUCCACAAUACUGUGACUACAGAUUCGGGUAUUCGGGUUGCUGCGUGAAGUAUCAUGGGGGUCAUUACUGACAGUGACGCCAGAUCAUCCGGAAAUGACGAUGCAAGCAUAUUUCACAGACAUCUUUAGAGAUUUCAGUCAUUUUCCUGUCUAAUAUUAAAACAUGCAUAUAACAUUAA